rnacentral:lncRNA from 1 species
UUGUUAUUUUCACCUCCAAUCAAGUGUGUGCGUUUGAUCUAUCGUGUUGAAAUUUGUUUUCUUUUUUCUGCAGAAGCGAAAUUAAUACGUGUCCCAUUCCCAACGAACCGAUAUAACAAGAAGAGUUUUUUUUUUUUUUUGGUAAAAGGUUAAACUGAUAUAACAAGAAGAGUUACUACAAAUAUAUAGAUCAAACAACAGUAAGAAAACUUAAAAUCAAGAAAAAACAUUGCCAAAGGUGCCGAAGUUGCCCGGUCAGAGAGAAAGAUGCAUAAUGUUUCAUGUCUUGUCCAUUGUGCUUGCCGUUGACCACCUGCAGACGCUUUCAAGUUGGUCAAAAGCUCGAUCUCUCUUCUCGUCCGAAGAACAUGUUCACCAACUCUUCUUACUAUACCUUAUAGUAGCGGUGGGUGAUCCUUUAAACUGGUUCAAGACAAGAUCAGAAGAAUAAUCAUCGUUAUUAGAAGAAUAGAGGCAAAGAGAAAAAUGAUAAUAAGCAUCAUUAAACGACUAACCAGAAGACCUUCUUCUUGAUAUAAGGGCCCGUCUUUGGUAUUAUUGUUAGCCAUGAUUCAGGGUAUAGAUGGUGAUCAUAAGUUGUUGAAGAUACAUGAAGAGGGUUUUAUAGAAAAUGCAUGUGACUAGAGUAAUGAAACUUGAGAAAAAGUUAUUGCAAAGUGAUGAUGCAUGCUUUUUAAUUUGUACCAUAAAGUAUGCUUUUG